GGUACUUGAAGAUAGGUUAUCCGUGUUGCCUUCGUUUUAUUUAUGUCGAAUCAUACGCGGUUGACCUAUUUUCCAGUAUC
rfam:Cavia porcellus supercont2_111 genomic scaffold, whole genome shotgun sequence.